ensembl:miRNA
AAAUAUUAUGUUUGUGCAAAAGUAAUUGUGGUUUUUGUCACUACUUUCAAUGGCAGAAACAGCAAUUAAUUUUGCACCAACCUAAUAAAAUACUUUGAAAUACAU